rnacentral:rRNA from 1 species
AACGAACGCUGGCGGCAUGCCUAACACAUGCAAGUCGAACGAGACCUUCGGGUCUAGUGGCGCACGGGUGCGUAACGCGUGGGAAUCUGCCCUUGGGUUCGGAAUAACAGUUGGAAACGACUGCUAAUACCGGAUGAUGACGUAAGUCCAAAGAUUUAUCGCCCCAGGAUGAGCCCGCGUAGGAUUAGCUAGUUGGUGAGGUAAAGGCUAACCAAGGCGACGAUCCUUAGCUGGUCUGAGAGGAUGAUCAGCCACACUGGGACUGAGACACGGCCCAGACUCCUACGGGAGGCAGCAGUGGGGAAUAUAGGACAAGGAGCGAAAGCCUGAUCCAGCAAUGCCGGGUGAGUGAUGAAGGCCUUAGGGUUGUAAAGCGCUUUUACCCGGGAUGAUAAUGACAGUACCGGGAGAAUAAGCGCCGGCUAACUCCGU